rnacentral:tRNA from 1 species
GGAGCCAUGGCUUAGUGGCAGAGCAUCUGCCUGGCGUGCCGUAGGUUCCAGGUUCAAACCCUGGCAUCUCCA